rnacentral:rRNA from 1 species
UACGUAGGGAGCAAGCGUUGUCCGGAUUUACUGGGUGUAAAGGGUGCGUAGGCGGCUUUGCAAGUCAGAUGUGAAAUCUAUGGGCUCAACCCAUAGCCUGCAUUUGAAACUGCAGAGCUUGAGUGAAGUAGAGGCAGGCGGAAUUCCCCGUGUAGCGGUGAAAUGCGUAGAGAUGGGGAGGAACACCAGUGGCGAAGGCGGCCUGCUGGGCUUUAACUGACGCUGAUGCACGAAAGCGUGGGUAGCAAAC